rnacentral:rRNA from 1 species
CUACGGGGGGCAGCAGUGAGGAAUAUUGCACAAUGGGGGGAACCCUGAUGCGGCAACGCCGCGUGGAGGAUGACGCAUUUCGGUGUGUAAACUCCUUUUAUAUGUCAAGAAAAUGACGGUAGCAUAUGAAUAAGCACCGGCUAACUCCGUGCCAGCAGCCGCGGUAAUACGGAGGGUGCAAGCGUUACUCGGAAUCACUGGGCGUAAAGGACGCGUAGGCGGGUUGGAAAGUCAGGUGUGAAAUCCUACAGCUUAACUGUAGAACUGCACUUGAAACUUCGAAUCUAGAGUAUGGGAGGGGGAGAUGGAAUUAGUGGUGUAGGGGUAAAAUCCGUAGAUAUCACUAGGAAUACCUAAAGCGAAGGCGAUCUCCUGGAACAUUACUGACGCUAAGGCGUGAAAGCGUGGGGAGCAAACAGGAUUAGAUACCCGCGUAGUC